rnacentral:rRNA from 1 species
UGGGGAAUAUUGGACAAUGGGCGAAAGCCUGAUCCAGCCAUGCCGCGUGAGUGACGAAGGCCUUCGGGUUGUAAAGCUCUUUUACCAGGGACGAUAAUGACGGUACCUGGAGAAUAAGCUCCGGCUAACUUCGUGCCAGCAGCCGCGGUAAUACGAAGGGGGCUAGCGUUGUUCGGAUUUACUGGGCGUAAAGCGCGUGUAGGCGGGCUGGAAAGUUGGGGGUGAAAUCCCGAGGCUCAACCUCGGAACUGCCUCCAAAACUUCCAGCCUGGACUCAAGUAGAGGCAAGUGGAAUUGCGAGUGUAGAGGUGAAAUUCGUAGAUAUUCGCAGGAACACCAGUGGCGAAGGCGACUUGCUGGACUUGUAGUGACGCUGAGACGCGAAAGCGUGGGGAGCAAACAGGAUUAGAUACCCAGGUAUUCCCUGAGCGGGCUGGCAAGGCGCAU